AACGAACGCUGGCGGCAGGCUUAACACAUGCAAGUCGAACGCAUCCUUCGGGGUGAGUGGCAGACGGGUGAGUAACGCGUGGGAACGUGCCCUUCAGUUCGGGAUAACCCAGGGAAACUUGGGCUAAUACCGGAUACGUGCGAGAGCAGAAAGAUUUAUCGCUGAAGGAUCGGCCCGCGUCUGAUUAGCUAGUUGGUGGGGUAAUGGCCCACCAAGGCGACGAUCAGUAGCUGGUCUGAGAGGAUGAUCAGCCACAUUGGGACUGUGACACGGCCCAAACUCCUACGGGAGGCAGCAGUGGGGAAUAUUGGACAAUGGGCGCAAGCCUGAUCCAGCCAUGCCGCGUGAGUGAUGAAGGCCUUAGGGUUGUAAAGCUCUUUCGUCCGGGACGAUAAUGACGGUACCGGAAGAAGAAGCCCCGGCUAACUUCGUGCCAGCAGCCGCGGUAAUAC
rnacentral:rRNA from 1 species